rnacentral:RNase_P_RNA from 1 species
UCAGCCGGUUGGACGGCCGCUGCCGGAGCCUUCGCGUUAUGGCGAGCAAGCUCUGGUGGAGGAAAGUCCGGGCUCCACGGAGACACGGUGGCGGCUAACGGCCGCCGGGGGCGACCCCAGGGAAAGUGCAACAGAAAGCAAACCGCCACCUGGCUCUCGGGCCAGGAGGUAAGGGUGAAAGGGUGCGGUAAGAGCGCACCGCGCGUCUGGUAACAGGCGUGGCAUGGUAAACCCCACCGGGAGCAAGACCAAAUAGGGGCGGCCGGAAGCAUGCGGCAACGCAUGGCUUCGAGCCCGUCUUCAGGCCCGCCGCCCGGGUUGGUUGCUCGAGGCGCGGAGCAAUCCGCGUCCCAGAUGAAUGGCCGUCGCGAAGGGAAACCUUCAGACAGAACCCGGCUUACAGGCCGGCUGAUACU